UACAGAGGUCUCAAGCGUUGCUCGGAAUCACUGGGCGUAAAGCGCACGUAGGCGGAUUGUUAAGUCAGGGGUGAAAUCCUGGAGCUCAACUCCAGAACUGCCUUUGAUACUGGCGAUCUCGAGUCCGGGAGAGGUGAGUGGAACUGCGAGUGUAGAGGUGAAAUUCGUAGAUAUUCGCAAGAACACCAGUGGCGAAGGCGGCUCACUGGCCCGGUACUGACGCUGAGGUGCGAAAGCGUGGGGAGCAAACAGG
rnacentral:rRNA from 1 species